GUAGGUGGCAAGCGUUGUCCGGGAAUUAUUGGGGCGUAAAGCGCGCGCAGGCGGUUCUUUAAGUCUGAUGUGAAAGCCCACGGGCUCAACCGGUGGAGGGUCAUUGGAAACUGGAGAACUUGAGUACAGAAGAGGAAAGCGGAAUUCCACGUGUAGCGGUGAAAUGCGUAGAGAUGUGGAGGAACACCAGUGGCGAAGGCGGCUUUCUGGUCUGUAACUGACGCUGAGGCGCGAAAGCGUGGGGAGCAAACAGGAUUAGAUACCCUGGUAGUCCACGCCGUAAACGAUGAGUGCUAAGUGUUAGGGGGUUUCCGCCCCUUAGUGCUGCAGCUAACGCAUUAAGCACUCCGCCUGGGGAGUACGGCCGCAAAGGCUGA
rnacentral:rRNA from 1 species